GCCCGGAUAGCUCAGUCGGUAGAGCAUCAGACUUUUAAUCUGAGGGAUUCUAGUGGCCAAUCAGAGCA
rnacentral:tRNA from 1 species